AACCGGAUUAGAUACCCUGGUAGUCCACGCCGUAAACGAUGAGUGCUAAGUGUUAGAGGGUUUCCGCCCUUUAGUGCUGAAGUUAACGCAUUAAGCACUCCGCCUGGGGAGUACGGCCGCAAGGCUGAAACUCAAAGGAAUUGACGGGGGCCCGCACAAGCGGUGGAGCAUGUGGUUUAAUUCGAAGCAACGCGAAGAACCUUACCAGGUCUUGACAUCCUCUGAAAACUCUAGAGAUAGAGCUUCUCCUUCGGGAGCAGAGUGACAGGUGGUGCAUGGUUGUCGUCAGCUCGUGUCGUGAGAUGUUGGGUUAAGUCCCGCAACGAGCGCAACCCUUGAUCUUAGUUGCCAUCAUUAAGUUGGGCACUCUAAGGUGACUGCCGGUGACAAACCGGAGGAAGGUGGGGAUGACGUCAAAUCAUCAUGCCCCUUAUGACCUGGGCUACACACGUGCUACAAUGGACGGUACAAAGAGCUGCAAGACCGCGAGGUGGAGCUAAUCUCAUAAAACCGUUCUCAGUUCGGAUUGUAGGCUGCAACUCGCCUACAUGAAGCUGGAAUCGCUAGUAAUCGCGGAUUCAGCA
rnacentral:rRNA from 1 species